GACGAACCGUGCAAACGUUGUUCGGAUUCACUGGGCUUAAAGGGCGCGUAGGCGGACGGUCCAGUCGGGGGUGAAAUCUUUCCGCUUAACGGGAAAAGUGCCUCCGAUACUGAUCGUCUCGAGGGAGGUAGGGGCAUGUGGAACUUCCGGUGGAGCGGUGAAAGUGCGUAGAUAUCGGAAGGAACGCCGGUGGCGAAAGCGGCGCGCGUG
rnacentral:rRNA from 1 species